rnacentral:rRNA from 1 species
CCCUUAGAUGUCCUGGGCUGCACGCGCGCUACACUGAUGUGUCCAGUAAGCACCUAACCUCUUCCGAAAGGAACGGGUAACCUUUGCAAAGCACAUCGUGAUGGGGAUAGAUUAUUGCAAUUAUUAGUCUUGAACGAGGAAUUCCUAGUAAGCACAAGUCAUCAGCUUGUGUUGAUUACGUCCCUGCCCUUUGUACACACCGCCCGUCGCUCCUACCGAUGAAUCGUCCGGUGAAGUUCAUGGAGUGGUGGUUGUUCCAGCUGCUGUCGAAGUGAAAUGGACCUCACGAUUUAGAGGAAGGAGAAGUCGUAACA